AAAGAGAGAGAGAGAGAGAGAGAGAGAGAGAGAGAGAGAGAGAGAGAGAGAGAGAGAGAGAUACACUCACAUAUAUACACAGGUACAUUUACAUACAUGUACGUCGCAGACGUUCCGUUUGUCAUUUAUAUAAAUCGGAUAAAGCACUCGUGCUAUCAAUAAGUUUAAAAAUUCUUUAACCGAAUUGAAUGUGAUAAAAUAUUUUUACGUAUUAACGUGAAUUAUUGCGUUAUACGUAUAAAAAAAUGUACACGACGCAUGCUCUGAUCAUCAAAGAUCAAAGGCGGAAAGGUGGGGGGUGGUGGUGGUGGUGGUGAUAGUGGUGGUGGUGGUGGCGCGGAAGGGAAAAGGGGGAGGGAAAGGUGAACGGUGAGAACGAGAAAAAUAGUUGUUGCUUAUGAUGAUCUGUGUGAAUGUUUGUCGAGGAUCAAAAAGAAAAAAGAAAAAAAAAAAAAAGAAUAAAAGCAAGAAAGAAAAACAAAAAAGAAAAAUAAAAGAUCCGUGAUAUGAGAGAUUGUUAGUAUACGUGUACGUGUGUGCGAGACUCUGUGUGUGAGAGCGUGCGCGUGUGCGUACACAUUUGAGAGAGAAAAAAAUGGAAUAAAAGGAUACGCGCGAACGAAGAGAAAAAUAAAAAUGGCGGAAAAAAUAAUGUAGAAAAAUGUGGCGAGAACACGGAGCAGUAUAUAUCUAUAUAUAUAUAUAUAUAUAUAUAUAUAUAUAUAUAUAUAUACACACAUACACAUACACAUACACACAUACACAUAUAGGUAUAAACAAUCGUACGUAAUGUGCGGUAUGAGAGAGAGGGGGUGAGAGAGAGAGAGAGAGAGAGAGAGAGAGAGAGGCGAAGAUGAAACAAAACAAAAGAAUAAGAGAAUACAAACAUACUAACAAAGCAAAAGAGUAAAAAGUUAUAUAAAUAUAAUUUGCAAUACGUGUACAAAUAAUUGAAGAAAAGGAAAAAAGAAGAAAACAUAAAAAGAAUCCAAGUACCAAGGACCAAUUCGCAUUACUCGAGGGGGAGAAUAUUGCCUCUGUGUUCUCUCACGUUGCUCAUGCACGCGCGCACUCGCACGCACAUACACACACACACACACACACACACACAUACACACAUACACACAGACACAAAGGACACAGAUACAAAUAGUGACACGCGCACAAAUAAACAAUACACUUCUAAUCCUUCUUGGCCGACACAUUAAUACCAAUGUUGCUAAUUGUCAAUGAUACUGAGAUACAAGGCGUAUAACAUGCAUACAUCACGUAGGACCAUUUAAAACAUGUUCACUUACUCCUCCUCCCUCCCCCUCUUCUUCCUUUUGUCGAGCACCAUGUGCAAACACUAUUCCACUUUUUACACUACUACUGCCCGGUUCUUCGCUUAUUAGGACAAAACUUUCUAUUGUCAUCCUUCUCUUUCUACAUAUAAUUAAGCGUACUUCGUGCCGCUACUGGUCUUCCAAAAUUAGAGAACGUUCCUUCUUUUAAGAGAAAAAAAAAAGAAAGAAAGAAAGAAUGAAAGGAAGAAAGAAAGAUAAAAAGGAAGAAAGAAGGAAUGAAAAAAGUAAUAAAAAAAAAAAUGCGAAAAAAAAGAAAAGAAAAGAAAAAAGAACAAAAAGAAAUAAAACACGGAGAUAGGAAUAAAACGAUCGUCGUGAUAUUAUUGUGCUGGCACGUUAUUUCGGUUGAGUCGGGUAAAGGGGUUGAAAGUUCGUAAGGAUAUUUGAAAAUAAAAAUUCCACGUAUCCGUCGUAUGUGGGUCGACUUAGCCAUCUUUUUCUUCCGACUAAUAAUCUAAUUAAAGAUGAGAGAGAGAGAGAGAGAGAGAGAGAGAGAGAGAGAGAGAGAAGUGAACAAGCACGUUGAGCGGCUGAGGUCCUCUUUUUUUUUUUUUCCUUUUUAAUUACUUCCGAAGCUUUUUUUAACUUUCGUUCGUUCCUAAUCGACAAACUUCCAAAAGAUUUUCAAACGACGAUGAAUUAUCAUUCUGAUCGAUCUUUAGCGCGAUGUUCGAUGUUUCUUCACCGAAUAGAAAACCUUUUAUUGUCCCUGUAAAUUGUUAAACUACGCGCAACGUUCGUCAAACGUAGAAGAAGUAGAAAAGAAAAAAAAAAAAAAAAAAUAAUAAUAAUAAAAUAAACGAAGUUCGAGAAAAACGUUGCGUAGAUGGGACCUACAAUCUUCUAUGUUAACGAAUGAUCGCGAAUAUAAUUGAGCGGGUUAUUAUGAAAAUGUGGUUUAAUAUA